CUUAGUAACUCGAAAUUAUGAGAAAAAUAACUCGAAAUUUCGAGAAAAUAACUCGAAAUUUCGAGUUAGCUCUGCCAAUCAGUAAUCUACGUGAAUGACGUCAUUUCCUUGUUACCCGGAAGGAUAUGGCACAAAGGCGCGCGCACUCAAAACUGGAUCGUCUCGUGAGCUACAAAUGGCGCCAGGUUCUUCAGCUUUGAAUGCCUUCCUACAAAUGAUAACUGGAUAAAAGCAUGGGAGACUUGAUUGAAUUCUUGAAACAAAGAGAAGUCUCUGAGGAAAUUAUACAGACCUUGGAGAAUGAGAAGAUUGAUGCCAGUGUCAUAAGUCUAAUGACAGAUGAGGAGCUGAAGACUUAUUUGCCAUCAUAUGGUGAUCGUCUAGCAGUAUUUGGAUUUUGCAGACGGAGGGGCAGCAGCCGCAAGUCAGCGCUUUUUGAACGGCUGAAAUCCAAACUGUCCAAAAGAAAAUUAUCUGAAGAGGAUGGCAGUAGUACACGGCAAGAAGAACAUUCCCAAACAACCCAUAAAAGAAAUGCUCUGAAGAGAAAUAGAAAAAUAGAAAUAGGAUGGAUGCAUUAUGAUGAAGACACUGAGGUUUUCAAGCAGGUUAGAGCUAGACGAGGAGGAGGAACAAGAAAAAUAGACAUUUGCAAGGAUGCCAAGAAAAGGGACAUAUUACAGGUUGCAACAGGCCUGUUCUUUCCAGAUGGAGGAAACAUUCAGGGGCCCUUAACAGAUUUUGACUGUGAUCUAAAGGAUUAUCAAGAGAUGAUAGUCGAUGAUGCAUUAACAGUAGGAGAACUUUAUCAUGUCACAAAACUAAAUAUCCUCAGGUUCUACCUCACCACAAAGAAAAAACAAAAUGACAGCCUUCAGAGUUCCAGCCCAGGUUUGCAUCCAUCUUCAGAAAUUGAAG